GUGUGACUGCGUACCUUUUGUAUAAUGGGUCAGCGACUUAUAUUCUGUAGCAAGGUUAACCGAAUAGGGGAGCCGAAGGGAAACCGAGUCUUAACUGGGCGUUAAGUUGCAGGGUAUAGACCCGAAACCCGGUGAUCUAGCCAUGGGCAGGUUGAAGGUUGGGUAACACUAACUGGAGGACCGAACCGACUAAUGUUGAAAAAUUAGCGGAUGACUUGUGGCUGGGGGUGAAAGGCCAAUCAAACCGGGAGAUAGCUGGUUCUCCCCGAAAGCUAUUUAGGUAGCGCCUCGUGAAUUCAUCUCCGGGGGUAGAGCACUGUUUCGGCAAGGGGGUCAUCCCGACUUACCAACCCGAUGCAAACUGCGAAUACCGGAGAAUGUUAUCACGGGAGACACACGGCGGGUGCUAACGUCCGUCGUGAAGAGGGAAACAACCCAGACCGCCAGCUAAGGUCCCAAAGUCAUGGUUAAGUGGGAAACGAUGUGGGAAGGCCCAGACAGCCAGGAUGUUGGCUUAGAAGCAGCCAUCAUUUAAAGAAAGCGUAAUAGCUCACUGGUCGAGUCGGCCUGCGCGGAAGAUGUAACGGGGCUAAACCAUGCACCGAAGCUGCGGCAGCGACGCUGAUGCGUUGUUGGGUAGGGGAGCGUUCUGUAAGCCUGCGAAGGUGUGCUGUGAGGCAUGCUGGAGGUAUCAGAAGUGCGAAUGCUGACAUAAGUAACGAUAAAGCGGGUGAAAAGCCCGCUCGCCGGAAGACCAAGGGUUCCUGUCCAACGUUAAUCGGGGCAGGGUGAGUCGACCCCUAAGGCGAGGCCGAAAGGCGUAGUCGAUGGGAAACAGGUUAAUAUUCCUGUACUUGGUGUUACUGCGAAGGGGGGACGGAGAAGGCUAUGUUGGCCGGGCGACGGUUGUCCCGGUUUAAGCGUGUAGGCUGGUUUUCCAGGCAAAUCCGGAAAAUCAAGGCUGAGGCGUGAUGACGAGGCACUACGGUGCUGAAGCAACAAAUGCCCUGCUUCCAGGAAAAGCCUCUAAGCAUCAGGUAACAUCAAAUCGUACCCCAAACCGACACAGGUGGUCAGGUAGAGAAUACCAAGGCGCUUGAGAGAACUCGGGUGAAGGAACUAGGCAAAAUGGUGCCGUAACUUCGGGAGAAGGCACGCUGAUAUGUAGGUGAAGUCCCUCGCGGAUGGAGCUGAAAUCAGUCGAAGAUACCAGCUGGCUGCAACUGUUUAUUAAAAACACAGCACUGUGCAAACACGAAAGUGGACGUAUACGGUGUGACGCCUGCCCGGUGCCGGAAGGUUAAUUGAUGGGGUUAGCGCAAGCGAAGCUCUUGAUCGAAGCCCCGGUAAACGGCGGCCGUAACUAUAACGGUCCUAAGGUAGCGAAAUUCCUUGUCGGGUAAGUUCCGACCUGCACGAAUGGCGUAAUGAUGGCCAGGCUGUCUCCACCCGAGACUCAGUGAAAUUGAACUCGCUGUGAAGAUGCAGUGUACCCGCGGCAAGACGGAAAGACCCCGUGAACCUUUACUAUAGCUUGACACUGAACAUUGAGCCUUGAUGUGUAGGAUAGGUGGGAGGCUUUGAAGUGUGGACGCCAGUCUGCAUGGAGCCGACCUUGAAAUACCACCCUUUAAUGUUUGAUGUUCUAACGUUGACCCGUAAUCCGGGUUGCGGACAGUGUCUGGUGGGUAGUUUGACUGGGGCGGUCUCCUCCUAAAGAGUAACGGAGGAGCACGAAGGUUGGCUAAUCCUGGUCGGACAUCAGGAGGUUAGUGCAAUGGCAUAAGCCAGCUUGACUGCGAGCGUGACGGCGCGAGCAGGUGCGAAAGCAGGUCAUAGUGAUCCGGUGGUUCUGAAUGGAAGGGCCAUCGCUCAACGGAUAAAAGGUACUCCGGGGAUAACAGGCUGAUACCGCCCAAGAGUUCAUAUCGACGGCGGUGUUUGGCACCUCGAUGUCGGCUCAUCACAUCCUGGGGCUGAAGUAGGUCCCAAGGGUAUGGCUGUUCGCCAUUUAAAGUGGUACGCGAGCUGGGUUUAGAACGUCGUGAGACAGUUCGGUCCCUAUCUGCCGUGGGCGCUGGAGAACUGAGGGGGGCUGCUCCUAGUACGAGAGGACCGGAGUGGACGCAUCACUGGUGUUCGGGUUGUCAUGCCAAUGGCACUGCCCGGUAGCUAAAUGCGGAAGAGAUAAGUGCUGAAAGCAUCUAAGCACGAAACUUGCCCCGAGAUGAGUUCUCCCUGACUCCUUGAGAGUCCUGAAGGAACGUUGAAGACGACGACGUUGAUAGGCCGGGUGUGUAAGCGCAGCGAUGCGUUGAGCUAACCGGUACUAAUGAACCGUGAGGCUUAACCUU
rnacentral:rRNA from 1 species